AUCCAUCUGAAGAGUCCUAAAUAGGACGAAACGCGCAUCCUAGAU
rnacentral:hammerhead_ribozyme from 1 species